CGUAUAUAGCAAAGUUUAGCUUCGGAUUGUUAAUUUAAAUUAAUCAUUUUUAUCGGAUAGCAGACAACAAAACGACACACGACGAGGUUUCUCGCAUCCGAUUCUCUCAGCACCGGCUAUCUCACCGUCACUCUGGCAGCCGCCUUACACAUAUUGUAAUACAAUCACAAUGACUAGUUUCAGAAACAACAAGACCGCUAUAGCAUAUUAAGUAGUUCGCAAUGUGUCAUUGAUGAAGGAUUACAGAAAUCAACGCACGAAAGCUGAUACAGAAGUUGGUGUAAACUAGAAAAACUCUAGAAAGAGAACUGCGGAGACUCCAUUUUGACUCGAUUGGAUUCGCGUUUAGCUGUCAAAAAAGGGAUCCAAUCGAACAUUGACUAUCCUUAUAACAUUGGACGUGUUGCCAUACAAUGCCGGGACAUACGUUGCCAAAAAUGCUGUUUUUCUCUCCGCAGUUCUCUUACUAGAGUUUUUCUAAUGUAAACCAAAGUCUAAUAAAUAAACGAAGGAAGGAUCGGGAUUGGGAUGCCACCACAUGAACUUCACAUCAAUCAACUUCUGGUAAUUGACAACAUUUAACCGAAGGCUAUUGUAAUUGCUAUAAUGGUUUGUGACUUCUUUUGACCUUUAUUGUCAAUGCACUCUUUGCAUUGUAUCGUGUGUUUGCUGUGACCACAAAAUUUUGUUUUGGAGAUCGAUUGUGCAUGUGAUCGACUGAAAGCGCGCCCAGUAUUGGUUGUCGACUCACCGACAACUGGCAUCAACAUCCUCUAUGCUACCUAGGUGUUCCGGAAAAAGUCUUCACCUAUUUAUGCAUUGAUUACAAAUCCUUCAAAAAUGUCGCAUUUUCGCUCCAUCGGCAACAAUCGUUCUCUUUCUAGAGUUUUUCUAGUUACCAACAUACUCAUCGUAUUCGAGGGAAUCAAAAUGCUAAGCCAAAAGACGCCCAACAACUUGCACCAAGAAAAAAAUUGGAAACAUUUCUUCACAUCUUGUUGCGGGCUGGGAUUCUGGCAGGAACCGAAGGCAUUCCGCAAUGCCCUAUCGGUAUAAUUGUUUGAGCACAGGAAUAUCUCAGAUAAAUACACACAAGGAUCGGAUGGAUAUGUAGCUAAAUGACAUGAAUCAAUAUGGUUCUCUGGAGAGCACAUCCGAUGAUUAAAACAUUUAUUUAUAGUAAUAUUUGAAAGCUAAUAUAUUUAUUUUGCAGUGCA